rnacentral:lncRNA from 1 species
CACACACAGUAGCCUGACCCACCAGGGCAGGUUAAAGAGGAGUUAGGGAGGAAGAGGAGGAUGAACCCUGGUUAUCUUCAGUCUACGGAGAGUGUUUUCCCACAGCUGCACACGCAACGCGGCCUCUUGUGAAACGCACCGUUCAAAUCUUCUGUCUUUAUUGCCCUCCCUCUGUCAGUUUUAUCUGAUGAAGGUUUCAAUAAAAAUGCUAACAUGCAACUAACCUAAUGAUGUACAGCUGAAAAAUUAAUAUAGCUGAUGUUUAUGUUGUACUUUUGUGUUGUUUACUCCACUGAGAUCCACAUCUUCAUUUCUGUUGAUUCUGAGCACUGGAAUAUGCAUUUAUCUGGGAAAAGUAAUGAAAAGAUGGGAAUCUGCCCAUGCAAAGCCCAGAGAUAGCAUUGGAGUGUUUUUCUAUGGACCUCAGCUUAAGAACGGGGGAAACACACAGACAACUGUCAGGUUUGAAGAAAGAUGGAAAACUGUGGCCCGAUACAGAUAGUCUCAAAGAAAAUCUGAUCCUUUCAUCCAUUCUGGGAACCCCGAGCGACUCUCCAGCUGAGCGGCGCAAAGCCGGACACCUUCACACCUUUGAAAACUGCAUAAUUAUCACCUCACCUAAUAUGAUGUUUUUGAGCUGUGGGAGGAAUCCUGAGCCACUAAAGCAAACACUUGUCCACAGAGAAAAAUCCUGCACUCUCCCAACACAGGAGCUUAAGAUGAAAUUUGAACUGGCAACCUUUGUGUGGGCCGACAAAACAACCAGUUUUUUCAAUGAUUAUUAAGAUUUUAAUACAUGUAAAAGCUACAAGUAAAAGCAAUCCUAUUAGCUUAGAAUCAAGGGCAUAGAGAAAAUGCUUUUUGUUUAGUGAGAAUGCUUCAAAGGUUGAACUACAUGAGUCUUUGCAUCGAUUUACUGCUUCACGG